rnacentral:tRNA from 1 species
GUGGAUACAGCUCAGUAGUAGAGCUUGCACUUAGCAUGCAUGAGGUCGUGGGUUCAAUCCCCGUUGUCUCCA